CCUACGGGAGGCAGCAGUAGGGAAUAUUGCUCAAUGGGGGAAACCCUGAAGCAGCAACGCCGCGUGGAGGAUGAAGGUUUUCGGAUUGUAAACUCCUUUUGUUAGAGAAGAUAAUGACGGUAUCUAACGAAUAAGCACCGGCUAACUCCGUGCCAGCAGCCGCGGUCAUCCGGCGGGUGCAAGCGUUACUCGGAAUCAAGGGGCGUAAAGAGCGCGUAGGCGGGAUAGCAAGUCAGAUGGGAAAUCCUAUGGCUUAACCAUAGAACUGCAUUUGAAACUGUUAUUCUAGAGUAUGGGAGAGGUAGGUGGAAUGCGUGGUGUAGGGGUGAAAUGCGUAGAGAUCAAGAAGAAUACUGAUUGCGAAGGCGGCCUGCUGGAGCAUAACUGACGCUGAUGCGCGAAAGCGUGGGGAGCGAACAGGAUUAGAUACCCCUGUAGUC
rnacentral:rRNA from 1 species